AAAAACGUAACAAGGUUUCCGUAGGUGAACCUGCGCUGUGAGAUCAUAUAACAACUAACAAGUUUUUUUGUAGCUGAAACUUCCGAUGGGAAGUAAAAAAUCGUAACAAGGUUUCCGUAGGUGAACCUGCGGAAGGAUCAUUACCGAGUUCUCGGGCUUCGGCCCGAAUCUCCCACCCUUUGUGAACAUACCUCUGUUGCUUUGGCGGCUCUUGCCGCGUGGAGGCCCUCAAAAGCCCCCCCGCGCGCGCUUCCGCCAGAGGACCAUCAAACUCCAGUCAGUGAACGUCGACGUCUGAAAAAACAAGUUAAUAAACUAAAACUUUCAACAACGGAUCUCUUGGUUCUGGCAUCGAUGAAGAACGCAGCGAAAUGCGAUAAGUAAUGUGAAUUGCAGAAUUCAGUGAAUCAUCGAAUCUUUGAACGCACAUUGCGCCCCUUGGCAUUCCGAGGGGCAUGCCUGUUCGAGCGUCAUUACAACCCUCAAGCUCUGCUUGGUAUUGGGCGCCGUCCUCUCUGCGGACGCGCCUCAAAGACCUCGGCGGCGGCUGUUCAGCCCUCAAGCGUAGUAGAAUACACCUCGCUUUGGAGCGGUUGGCGUCGCCCGCCGGACGAACCUUCUGAACUUUUCUCAAGGUUGACCUCGGAUCAGGUAGGGAUACCCGCUGAACUUUAAGCAUAUCAAUAGGCGCGGAGCGUCUUAUAUCAGGUGGGAUUACCCGCUGAACUUAAGCAUAUCAUAGGAGCUUAGAAAAAAGU
rnacentral:rRNA from 1 species